rnacentral:rRNA from 1 species
UACGGAGGGUGCAAGCGUUAAUCGGAAUUACUGGGCGUAAAGGGCGUGUAGGCGGCCGCUUAAGUUCGGUGUGAAAGGCAUGGGCUUAACUCAUGGACUGCAUCGAAAACUGGGCGGCUUGAGGGUGGUAGAGGAGAGCGGAAUUCCCGGUGUAGCGGUAAAAUGCGUAGAUAUCGGGAGGAACACCAGUGGCGAAGGCGGCUCUCUGGGCCACACCUGACGCUGAGGCGCAAAAGCUAGGGGAGCAAACGGG